CAGUGGGGAAUAUUGGACAAUGGACCAAAAGUCUGAUCCAGCAAUUCUGUGUGCACGAUGAAGGUCUUCGGAUCGUAAAGUGCUUUCAGGUGGGAAGAAAAAAAUGACGGUACCACCAGAAGAAGCGACGGCUAAAUACGUGCCAGCAGCCGCGGUAAUACGUAUGUCGCAAGCGUUAUCCGGAAUUAUUGGGCGUAAAGCGCGUCUAGGCGGCCUUUUAAGUCUGAUGUGAAAAUGCGGGGCUCAACUCCGUAUUGCGUUGGAGACUGGAAGGCUAGAGUAUCAGAGAGGUGGGCGGAACUACAAGUGUAGAGGUGAAAUUCGUAGAUAUUUGUAGGAAUGCCGAUUGGGAAGCCAGCUCACUGGAUGAAUACUGACGCUGAAGCGCGAAAGCGUGGGGAGCAAACGGGAUUAGAUACCCCGGUAGUCCACGCCGUAAACGAUGAUCACUAAGUGUGGGGGGUCGAACCUCCGUGCUCAAGCUAACGCGAUAAGUGAU
rnacentral:rRNA from 1 species